rnacentral:rRNA from 1 species
AUCUUGUGUAACCGGUAGAGAUAUGGGUUCCACUUCGGGGGCGCAGAGAAAGGUGNUGCAUGGCUGUCGUCAGNUCGUGUCGUGAGAUGUUGGGUUAAGUCCCGCAAACGAGCGCAACCUUCGCCCUUAGUUGCCAGCAUUUAGUUGGGCACUCUAAGGGGACUGCCGGUGAUAAGCCGAGAGGAAGGUGGGGAUGACGUCAAGUCCUCAUGGCCCUUACGGGCUGGGCUACACACGUGCUACAAUGGUGGUGACAGUGGGCAGCGAGCACGCGAGUGUGAGCUAAUNUCCAAAAGCCAUCUCAGUUCGGAUUGCACUCUGCAACUCGAGUGCAUGAAGUUGGAAUCGCUAGUAAUCGCGGAUCAGCAUGCCGCGGUGAAUACGUUCCCGGGCCUUGUACACACCGCCCGUCACACCAUGGGAGUUGGUUUUACCCGAAGGUAGUGCGCUAACCGCAAGGAGGCAGCUAACCACGGUAGGUC